UACGUAGGGGGCGAGCGUUGUCCGGAUUCAUUGGGCGUAAAGAGCUCGUAGGCGGCUUGGCAAGUCGGAUGUGAAAACUCCAGGCUCAACCUGGAGCCGCCAUUCGAUACUGCUAUGGCUAGAGUCCGGUAGGGGAGUGUGGAAUUCCCGGUGUAGCGGUGAAAUGCGCAGAUAUCGGGAGGAGCACCGAUGGCGAAGGCAGCACUCUGGGCCGGCACUGACGCUGAGGAGCGAAAGCGUGGGGAGCGAACAGG
rnacentral:rRNA from 1 species